rnacentral:misc_RNA from 1 species
UCAUUAACACCAUCACCAGUCAUUGCCACCACUUCAUUUUGGUUCUGUAAGGCCUCCACUAGCAUCCUUUUAUGAGCAGGUUCAACCCUGGUAAACAGUGCCAUACGUUGCAAAGCCAGUGUUUGCUGCAAUGCUGGGAGUUCUUCAAAUUCAGAGGCUGUAUAUGAGCGUCCCACAAAAUCUUCCAAGUGAUCAAAAGCACCAAUCUUUCGACAAAGUGAUUCAGCUGUUGACUUAUUGUCCCCAGUAACAACUAUUACACGUAUACCAGCAGUCAUGCAUGAAAGCAUAGCAUUUCUCACUUCCUCUCUUGGUGGAUCAAGCAUUCCAACCAACCCAAUAAAUGUAAGGUCCUUCUCAUCGUCAAAGGAAAGGCUCUGUAGGCCCAUGGGCAUCUGUUUCAUGGCUAAAGCCAGACAUCUUAAUGUUUCUUUCCCUGCAAAACUGUGGAAUCUUGACUCUAUCUCAUCUCUGAUAGCAGCAGACAGAGGAACAGUGGAACCAUCAUCAUUGCAAAGGAUGUUAGAACAUCUAGAGAUGAUACUCUCUGGAGCGCCUUUUGAAAACAUAAUCUCAGUCAGCUUUCGACUACAUAAGACACUCAUCAUUUUCCUAUCACGAGAGAAUUCCAAUAUGGAAACCUAUAGAGCAUCAAAAUGAUUGGUUGGAACAAAAUUUUCAAGGUUCAAUUAAUCCACUAGAACAUAAAACUACUACUAGAGCUAAAAGUUGCAAGUAAGUCCUCUCCAAAAUGCCUUUGGUCACAAUUAGGAAUUAGGCUAUGCAGAUGGGGAGGAAUAUACACUGCACCACCAAGACCAACUGUGUAACUAAAAAAAAAGAGAAUACAAAUAGAAUCAAACUUCUGAAAGCAAACCUUUUUGAAUUGGUUUUCCCAAUAGUGGUUGCAGUAAGAGGCACGCUCAUGCUUGCUCAGCACAUGCAGUGCAGAAGGCAUAGAAUCAAAACCAGGAAUGCCAACCUUCUCUGCAAGAGCACGCAAUGCUACUUCAGUUGACUCCCCAAUUUUUUCAUAAUUUCCUUUAUCUGGAUUAUACUGUAAGACAGACUCAUUGCAAAGAGCUGAACACAUUGCCACGUGAAGCAGACAAGGCAACUGAGCUGGAAAUUCAAGCUGUAUCCCACUGCUGUCAAAAAUUAUGCCCUCAGGAGCAUAUGUUGUCCCACUGACAUUGUAUUCAGCAAUCAUAGGAUGAUGGUGAAAAGAGUGAACAACACAUAUCUUCGAUACGGACAUCAUAUUUGUUGUCAAUGUUCCAGUCUUGUCACUGCAAAUCACUGUUGUGCAGCCUAGAGUCUCUACUGAUGGCAAAGAUCGUACAAUGGCAUUCAAACGAGCCAUGCGCUUUGUUCCAAGGGCCAAACACGUUGUAACAACAGCAGGAAGCCCUUCAGGAAUUGCUGCAACUGCAAGAGCAACUGCAAUCUUGAAAUAGUGGAUUGCACCACGCAAGAAGCCACCAUGGGAAGGAUCAUGAAAGUGGCCUAUGUUCACAAUCCAUACCAGCACACAAAUCCCCGCAAUAACCUUAGCCAAAAAAGUACCAAAUUCAUCCAACUUCUUCUUCAAUGGUGUUGCUUCAUCAUCUGUUUGCAGCAUAGAAUCACGUAUGCUGCCCAUAGCAGUGUUGGCACCAACUCCAACAACAACAGCUCUUGCCCGACCAGCAACCACUACAGUACCCGAAAAAAGAAUAUUUGUCUUGUCUUGGUAUACAGCAUUUAUUGCAGUUGUGGACUUGAGUUCCUUUUCCACAGAAAAGCUCUCACCAGUAAGUAUUGCUUGAUCAACGCGUAACUGAUCGCUUAGCAUCUCAAUCAUUCUCAUGUCAGCUGGAACCUUGCUUCCCACGCAGACUUCCACAAUAUCACCUGGAACAAGAUCUGUUGCUGGAAGUAUGGAAAAGCAACCUGCAUAAAAGUUUCAGGUGGAAUGAAAGCAAUAAAUAAAUAAUAUAAACACUUUUAGCAAUUUGUUAUCUUAUCUGUGAACUAGUAACAAAGUGUAUUAUAGAACUAAUAUAUUGGCUUCUGUAAACUGCUAGGCCAAUACAGAAAUCUAGCUAGUUUCUUUUAUUCUCUUUUUCAGUAAAAGGAACCACAAUGGACAUGUCCUUAAAAAAAUUGUGCUUAGCCAUCUAAGUAAGAUACACUGAAAAGCAAAAACUUCAUAAGUGCUCUGCAUUUGAGUAAAGAGAGCAACCAAGUCAAGAAUAGAAGCCAAAUACUUAAACAACAGAGCUACUGUUAUUUGUUUGUCUUCCUUCAUCUUCAAAAUCAACCAGAGAAAGGGGGAAAGAAAGUUCCCAGAGCUCUCAUACAAUGAUAAAGCAACAUAAAUGGAUAGCAAUUACAACAACUGCAGUUAUUUUCACACUUUCUUACCAGAAGACUUGAACUUACACCCAAACAAAUCACAUCCCAUCCUCAAAACAGCUUUGAGAAUAUCUCAACAGAAAUUUAAUAUUUCAUUCUACUGACAAAUAAGUUCGCCCAACUGAAAAGGACUUAUUCAGUGCAACAAGAAAAAUUAGCUUUCACAAGUUCACAAUGAUCUGGAAUUAUACUUUGGCUUUACCAUUUCGAAGCACAGUUGCAAUAUCAGCUUGGUAGGCACGCAGCUCUUCAAGAGCCCUCUCAGCAUUUGUUUCUGUAAUUACCCCUACAGCAGCAUUGGCAGCUAAAAUCAACAGGAUAACAAAGGGCUCCAAAAAAGCUGUUAAUCCAGUCUCUCCAUUAACCAAAGCUAAAAUGAAAGAAACAAUGGCAGCAGCUAUUAAUAUCUUAACAAGCAAAUCAUCAAACUGUUUCAGAACCAAUUUCCAGAAGGGAGUCCUUUUCUCUUCAGGCAGCA